rnacentral:rRNA from 1 species
AGGGAGUUUGAUCCUGGCUCAGGAUGAACGCUGGCGGCGUGCUUAACACAUGCAAGUCGAACGGAACAUUUCGCCCGAUGAUUGAAGUAGCUUGCUAUUGAAUGAUUCAACUGAAAUGUUUAGUGGCGGACGGGUGAGUAACGCGUGGGUAACCUACCUUACACAGGGGGAUAACAGUUAGAAAUGACUGCUAAUACCGCAUAAGCGCACAGUAUCGCAUGAUACAGUGUGAAAAACUCCGGUGGUGUAAGAUGGACCCGCGUCUGAUUAGCUAGUUGGUGAGGUAACGGCCCACCAAGGCGACGAUCAGUAGCCGGCCUGAGAGGGUGAACGGCCACAUUGGAACUGAGACACGGUCCAAACUCCUACGGGAGGCAGCAGUGGGGAAUAUUGUACAAUGGGGGAAACCCUGAUGCAGCGACGCCGCGUGAGUGAUGAAGUAUUUCGGUAUGUAAAGCUCUAUCAGCAGGGAAGAUCAUGACGGUACCUGACUAAGAAGCUCCGGCUAAAUACGUGCCAGCAGCCGCGGUAAUACGUAUGGAGCAAGCGUUAUCCGGAUUUACUGGGUGUAAAGGGUGCGUAGGUGGUAUGGCAAGUCAGAAGUGAAAACCCGGGGCUCAACCCCGUGGAUUGCUUUUGAAACUGUCAAACUAGAGUAUAGGAGAGGCAAGCGGAAUUCCUAGUGUAGCGGUGAAAUGCGUAGAUAUUAGGAGGAACACCAGUGGCGAAGGCGGCUUGCUGGACUAAAACUGACACUGAGGCACGAAAGCGUGGGGAGCAAACAGGAUUAGAUACCCUGGUAGUCCCCU